GGAAUAAAUGGAGGGGUACCUUCAAGGCCCAAGAAACACUCCCACUCUGGUUCCUGAGUAGCUGGGACCACACGUCCACAUUUCCAUCCUCUGCAACCUUGGCUUUAGCUUUAACUGAUUCCUUCUACAUCAGAAGAACAAUUUGGGCCGGUGAGAUGAUUAUCGAUAACGGUUAUUUUCACCAAACCUCACAACUGGUGUUCAAUCCCUGGGAUUCACAUGGUAGAAGAAGAAAAGCAAUUCCUGCAGGUCUUCCUAUGACCUC